GCCAGAGAUCUCCAUUGUGUAUUUGUGCAGUGGCUUUUGGAACCCAAGUAAAGGACCUUUCAUUUCGGGUGAAAUUCCUCUUGGUAGAGUUGACCUAUGCUGGUCUUUGGAGAGCAUGACCACAUCUCAGACCCGGAACCAAAGAUGCUGAUUGCUCUCAGCAGCCUGCACUCUCCCCUCCCGGGCCUCCCCAGCAGGUUAUCAUGCUGACUCAAGGAACACAACCCCCAUCUGGAUGCAGUCCAAACGCCAGAUGUGCCCCCGAUUAGUGUCGGUCUGGGGAAUGUUUCCACGACUGAAAGAUCUGCAAUGGGCUCCUGUCUAGUCUGAUUUUCUUAUGGCAGCCGUCACCUCCACUAUGGAAAGAAAAAUGAACGAUAAUGUUGUGAUGGGCCGGGCUGCCAUGUUUCAGCCUAUUUACAGGUCAUACCCAUUUCAGUAGACUGUGACACUUCAGUGACCUGCAAAUUCUACACAUUAGAGUUCAGAUUUUACACAAACGCCGUACACCCAAGACGUGGACGGGGCGUUUCUACCAGCAACACCCAACUCCCAACAAAAGACACAGGCUCUGUCAGAGGAUGAAAACUACUAAUGAAGAUGCAUUCCAGAUGAUAUGUUGGAUCAUCCCCUAGGAAAAAAAAUGAUUCAUGAAUAAUUUCAUGGCAAUCACACCAAAAAAAGAGAGUAAUAAUUUCCUCAA